CCAAGGAGCCAGCCCAGGCCGUGCCCUACUGGGUAGCAGAAAGGCGCAGAGAAAGUCACAUCUGGACCUGAAGCCUUCAGGGUCUGAGAGUCAGUGUCUGGAGGUGACGGUGUACAUGCAGACCAUGGAACGUCAGCGCGUGAAUGAGCUGGGAUUUAUAUCUGUAACCUUGGCUGCUCUUUGGAGCUUGCUUGGAUUUUGAGAUAUAAAUUACACCUGUGAGUGUGUCCUGCUCCAGGACCUGUGUUAUUUAUUGUUUGAGCUUGAGGAUCACAGAGGAUCAGAUCUGGGGGACCAGGGUUGGGGUGGACUCCAUCACGUCCCACCUGUGCUUCACCACGGUCCUGUUGGGGGGACAUCAGUCCCAUUUUAUGGUUCACUCUAUACCAGCAAUUUUCAUUAUUUCCCAGAGGUGGAGAUGUUUCCAUGGUGAUGCUGGGAAUGGUGCAGGUACCCUCAACUCUGACCUACCUAAGGGACUUG